rnacentral:rRNA from 1 species
AUUGAACGCUGGCGGAAUGCUUUACACAUGCAAGUCGAACGGCAGCACGGACUUCGGUCUGGUGGCGAGUGGCGAACGGGUGAGUAACAUAUCGGAACGUAUCCAAUAAUGGGGGAUAACGAGUCGAAAGAUUCGCUAAUACCGCAUACGCCCUACGGGGGAAAGCUGGGGACCUUCGGGCCUGGCGUUAAUGGAGCGGCCGAUAUCUGAUUAGCUAGUUGGUGAGGUAAAGGCUCACCAAGGCGACGAUCAGUAGCUGGUCUGAGAGGACGACCAGCCACACGGGGACUGGGACACGGUCCAGACUCCUACGGGAGGCAGCAGUGGGGAAUUUUGGACAAUGGGCGCAAGCCUGAUCCAGCCAUUCCGCGUGAGUGAAGAAGGCCUUCGGGUUGUAAAGCUCUUUCGCAAGGGAAGAAAACUUAGCCACUGACAUUGGUUGAGGUUGACGGUACCUUGAUAAGAAGCACCGGCUAACUACGUGCCAGCCGCCGCGGUAA